rnacentral:lncRNA from 1 species
CUUAGAAUUGAACCUCUGUUGUAUCCAUUUAUUUAGAUCAUCUUCUUUCACCCUAGCAUAGUUCACCCUUUCAAGACUUGGUGUACUCACAGAUAUUCCCUGUUGGACAAACGUCUUCAUUUCAGGGCAGCCAUUAAUACACACUUCUGUGAGAGAUGGAAAUGUAAGAGCAUGCUCUGUCUUAUAGAAAUGCCCCAGCUUAGGCAGAUUCCUAAGCUUCAGCUUUUCCAAUCGGGGAAAUAAGGUCACGAUUCCUUUUGUGAUCACUUCUUCCAUUGAUUGACAGUUUUGUAUGUAUAACACUUGGAGAUUCAGAAGACCUCUGGCCACUGAUGGAGACAUCAAGUUUCUCAAUUUUCCACAAUCUGAUACUCUCAAUGUUUGAAGUUUGAUGAAGUAGUCAGUUGGAAGCUGGUGAGAGCAUAGAGCACUUAUGUUGUUAGGCCCCCGAAUCCGUAGUUCUUCUAGGUUGGGGGCAAGAAACCUGCGAGCUUUUGAAGUAUCAAACUUUUGUUGCAGAUACAGUUGGAGCUAUUGGAACAAAACACUAGGUCAUAAGUGGACAAGCCAAAAGUGUUUACACACAUUUAUUUAUAUAUUUUUAAAAAGCCAUAUAUAUAAAAUUGUAUAUGAUCUCGUUUCAUAUUUUUUUUUCCCCAUUUGGACUGGGUCUAGAGGGGUAAAAAAAGGGAUGAGAUAAUUUUUGAAAUCCACAUGACAUUUUGAAAAAAGGGGUGAGAUAAUUUUCCCUCAAUUCAAUAAAAUAAUUUGGAUUUCACUCAUCUGCAUGUAAAAUUUAUCAUAUAUGCCCCUUUUUUCUAUAAAUAUAAAAAAAUAGAUGAAAAAUGGUCUAAAGUGCCUUUAUUGUUACUUAAUAAAUCAAAAAUGUCAUUUUUCAAAUAAAUAUAUCAUUUAUUUUCCUUUUGAACACAUUAUUUUCUGAAUGAUGUUUUUUUAUUAUUAAAUGUUUAUCCUACUUCAAUUCGGAAAAAAUAAUAUUAAAAAUAUUUCUUAUUUUAUUAUAAAUAUCAAAAUAAAAUUAAUGGUUGAUUUACUAUGAUCUUAUAUAUAAGAAAUAAAGAAAUAAUAGAGUACUUUAAAAGUAAUAUCUUUUAAUAGGAAUAAGAUUUGUUCAAAAAGAAAAGAAAUAAUAUAUUUAUGCGGAAAGAAAUAUUUUUGUUUCAAGUAGUAACAAUAGGAACAUUUCCAGAACAAACUAUCAACGGCAAGAACAUUUUCUGACCAAAGUAUUGAGGGGAAGUAACAUUUUUGGACUAAACUAUAAAUUGAGGGCAUUUUUUUUAUCAUUUCAUGUAACUUAAGGCAUUAUUGCCUUUUUUUCAAAAAAUAAAUUACAAUAUAGCUGCAAAAGAAAUAGUCUAAAAAUUUGUUCUUACUUUUUUCUUCUUUUCCAUAUCUAUUUAUUGUCACACUAAGAAAAUGAAAUAAGAAUAUGAAACUCAAAUAAUGAUAAGUUAAUAGAUCUAUAAGGGAUAUAUUUAAAAUUUAAAUUAAGAAGCAAACCUUUUCAUCAAAAAAAGGAUUUGACCUCUGUUGUAUCGAUUUAUUUAGAUCAUCUACUUUCACCUGAUCAUCACAUUUGAGAAUCGGUGUACUCACAGAUAUUCCCUGUUGGACAAACAUCUUCAUUUCAGGGCAGAGGCAAAUAAUCAGGUACUUGAGAAAUGGAAAUUCAAGAGCAUGCUCUGUCAGAUAGAAAUGCCCCAGCUUAGGCAUAUUCCAAAGCUUCAGCUCUUCCAAUCGGGGAAAUAAGGUCAUGAUUCCUUCUCCUUUUGUGAUCACUUCUUCCAUUGAUUCACA